UAGACAAGUAGCUGUUCUCUCUCAAUUUCA
rnacentral:piRNA from 1 species